rnacentral:lncRNA from 12 species
UUAGUUCAGUAAAAGUAACUACACUGACACCUGUGAAAAUAUCAGGAGAAGAUCUGUCAUUUCUUUUAGGUGCUCUCAGCUAAAAUCUGAACAUUAUCUGAAGAAGGGAAGAGAAAAUGCACCAAGAUCUGAAAUCAAACUAAAGCUGUUUGAUAAUCAGCUUGGUUCUUCAGAGAAGAUGACUCAUCCCAGUAUGAUGACAAAGGUCACUAUGUGAUGGAUAUUCCUGGUCCAACUCCGGAAAGGCCUGUCAUUGUGUGGAGGGGUGAGAUGGAAGGAUUGAGAACUUUGUCAAGUUACUGCAAUCUGGGAUAUGUGUUUAUUGCUUACAUCCCCAAAGUCGAGAUUAAAAAGGAAACAACAGGAGCAAGAGAAAUCAGGCCGAGAAAAUUUGCAAGAACAGAGUUGCAUGUUUUACCAACUGAGCCAGCCAGGUUCAAAAGCAAGACCUGAAACCUGGAACCACCAACAUUUAUGGACAGAAUUACAAGUGGCUGAGAGGAGAAAAAGAAACAUCCACAGAGGAAUCAAGGAAGCCUUGAAAAGAAAAGCCAAGAUGGACAAUUUUUGAAUAAAAGACCUUCUUGUCCACUUAUUUAUUAAUUCAGUAUAUAUUAAAUAAGUGUUUACUAUGUGCCAGUUACUAUCUUGGGAAUAUAUUGGUACACGAAAUAAGUGUGAUCCCUACCACCAUGAAGGUUUAAGUUCAAUGGGAAGGAAGAACAAUUGUUUUUGCAAAGUUGUAAUAAUAAAGUACAAGGUGCAACAUGAGCA